CAGUUAGCCCAGUAUCUCAAUUCCAAAUCAACUGACUUUCCAGACAACUGCAUCCUUGAACCCUUAAGAGAUUAUUAACUUGCAAAAGAAAAAAAAAAAAAAAAACAUAUUUUAUUUCUUCAGAAAUUUUUUGUCACAUAACUGUCAUUGGCUAUGUUUAUUUUCAAAUGUUAUACAUAUUUCACCCUUUACUUUUAAUCAAUGGAAGAUAAAGCAAGCAAGUAAAAUCACUUUAGUAUUUCCACAAAUUAAAUAUUUUGAUAAUGAUCAUUUUGUGGAGAUGCAGAAGAGAGGAUCAAAUAUAAAAGGCAUUUCCAUGGCUCUUAAAAGUUACUGACCAAUUGCCUCCCCCAAAAUGUUACCCCCUGUGCAAAGAGGCAGGUAUUAAAAAUAAAAAUAUCCUUUUAACCCCACAGAUCUGCUUCUAGCAACGUAUUCUAAAUAAGAAAAAUGUAUACAUACAAGGAAUAAACAUUUUAAGAACUACUGGAGAAACAUGUGACUACUUUUCUUUUUUAAAGGUAGACUUAUUAAAAUGUGUAUCAUAUGCUCUUAAGAAAUGGAUAAUUUCUAAGUUUUAAAAACAGUAUCAAAGCAGAGAAUUCCCAUAAACAUAACUACAAUUAAGUCUUUAGUUAAUUCCCUCCUUACCAUCUUCCAUGAAAAAUAGACCUCUUGGGGAUAAGUUCUCUACUAAUAGCUC
rnacentral:lncRNA from 1 species